rnacentral:tRNA from 1 species
UUAAUUGAAACCAAAAUUGAGGUGUAUUAUUGUUAAUAAUAUUAUUGAAUAAUAAUUCCAAUUAAG